GGGCUCUGCCCGCCCGAGGAUGGGCCGGCGGCCGAUUAGGUAGUUGGUGGGGUAACGGCCCACCAAGCCCAUAAUCGGUACGGGCAGUGAGAGCUGGAGCCCGGAGAUGGACACUGAGACACGGGUCCAGGCCCUACGGGGCGCAGCAGGCGCGAAACCUCCGCAAUGCUCGAAAGAGCGACGGGGGGACCCCAAGUGCCGUGGUACAACCACGGCUUUUCCGGAGUGUAAGAAGCUCCGGGAAUAAGGGCUGGGCAAGGCCGGUGGCAGCCGCCGCGGUAAUACCGGCGGCCCGAGUGGUGGCCACUAUUAUUGGGCCUAAAGCGUCCGUAGCCGGGCUUGUAAGUCCCUGGCGAAAUCCCACGGCUCAACCGUGGGGCUUGCUGGGGAUACUGCAAGCCUUGGGACCGGGAGAGGCCGGGGGUACUCCUGGGGUAGGGGUGAAAUCCUAUAAUCCCAGGAGGACCGCCAGUGGCGAAGGCGCCCGGCUGGAACGGGUCCGACGGUGAGGGACGAAGGCCAGGGGAGCAAACCGGAUUAGAUACCCGGGUAGUCCUGGCUGUAAAGGAUGCGGGCUAGGUGUUGCUUGGACCUCGAGUCCAAGCAGUGCCGCAGGGAAGCCGUUAAGCCCGCCGCCUGGGG
rnacentral:rRNA from 1 species